CCCAAGUCGCUGACCAAGAAACCAAAGCCAUAGGGUGUUUUCAAACAGCAUCUAUUACACUUGAAGGCUUAGGGACACGAUGAGGGAGCACAGCCCUGAGGACCUACUGCACGUUGGAGACCACGGAGGGAGAGACAGAGCAUGAACAGGGAAGGGUCAGAGAGAGGGAGACCCAGAAUCUGAAACAGGCUCCAGGCUCUGAGCUGUCAGCACAGAGCCUGAUGUGAGGCUGGAACUCACGGACUGUGAGAUCAUGACUUGAGCCGAAGUCGGAUGCUUAACCGACUGAGCCACCCAGGCGGCCCUCUCUCUCUCUCU